UACGGGGGGGGCAAGCGUUGUCCGGAUUUACUGGGCGUAAAGAGCGCGCAGGCGGUCGUUCAAGUCGAGUGUGAAAGCCCCCGGCUCAACUGGGGAGGGUCACUCGAUACUGAUCGACUCGAAGGCAGGAGAGGGAAGUGGAAUUCCCGGUGUAGUGGUGAAAUGCGUAGAUAUCGGGAGGAACACCAGUGGCGAAGGCGACUUCCUGGCCUGUUCUUGACGCUGAGGCGCGAAAGCGUGGGGAGCAAACAGG
rnacentral:rRNA from 1 species